GUUUGAUCAUGGCUCAGGACGAACGCUGGCGGUGUGCUUAAUACAUGCAAGUCGAACGGCCCUUCGGGUAGUGGCGGACGGGUGAGUAACACGUAGGUAACAUGCCCUAUACUGGGGGAUAACAUCGGGAAACCGGUGCUAAUACCGCAUAAGCCCGAGGUUGAAAGGCCUUUGGUUAAAGAUUUAUCGGUAUAGGAUUGGCCUGCGUCGGAUUAGCUAGUUGGUGGGGUAACAGCCUACCAAGGCUACGAUCCGUAGUUGGUCUGAGAGGAUGACCAGCCACAGUGGGACUGAGACACGGCCCACACUCCUACGGGAGGCAGCAGUAGGGAAUAUUGCGCAAUGGGCGAAACUGACGCAGCAACACCGUGUGCGGGACGAAGCCCUUGGUGUAAACGCUGUCGCAGGGACGAAUAUUGACGGUACCUGCAAAGGAAGCAUCGGCUAACUACGUGCCAGCAGCCGCGUAAUACGUAGGAUGCAAGCGUUGUCCGGAUUUAUUGGGCGUAAGCGUCCGUAGCGGUGAUUUAAGUUCGAUGUUAAGACUGGAGCUCAACUCAACAUGGCAUUGAAUACUGGAUCGCUGGAGUGCGGCAGAGGUAAGGGAAUUUCCGGUGUAGCGUGAAAUGCGUAGAUAUCGGGAGGAACACAGUGGCGAAACGCUUUACUGGGCGUAACUGACGCUGAGGGACGAAAGCAGGGUAGCGAAAGGAUUAGAUACCCCUGUAGU
rnacentral:rRNA from 1 species